UGCUGACUGUAUGAUGACUAAACUUUUUUCCCCAUCAGAUCGAUAAUGUUGAUUUGUGAUGCUUUUUAAGCCAGUUUUGUCUGAUCGUCAGCA